GGUGGCGUGCUUGACUAAAAAGGUUGCUUUGAUGUGGCAAAAAUGAGGGAAUUUCCUCCGCUACUA
rnacentral:tRNA from 1 species